rnacentral:rRNA from 1 species
GACGAACGCUGGCGGCGUGCUUAACACAUGCAAGUCGAACGGAAAGGCCCUGCUUUUGUGGGGCGCUCGAGUGGCGAACGGGUGAGUAACACGUGAGUAACCUGCCCUUGACUUUGGGAUAACUUCAGGAAACUGGGGCUAAUACCGGAUAGGUGCUCCUGCUGCAUGGUGGGGGUUGGAAAGUUUCGGCGGUUGGGGAUGGACUCGCGGCUUAUCAGCUUGUUGGUGGGGUAGUGGCUUACCAAGGCUUUGACGGGUAGCCGGCCUGAGAGGGUGACCGGCCACAUUGGGACUGAGAUACGGCCCAGACUCCUACGGGAGGCAGCAGUGGGGAAUAUUGCACAAUGGGCGGAAGCCUGAUGCAGCAACGCCGCGUGCGGGAUGACGGCCUUCGGGUUGUAAACCGCUUUCGCCUGUGACGAAGCGUGAGUGACGGUAAUGGGUAAAGAAGCACCGGCUAACUACGUGCCAGCAGCCGCGGUGAUACGUAGGGUGCGAGCGUUGUCCGGAUUUAUUGGGCGUAAAGGGCUCGUAGGUGGUUGAUCGCGUCGGAAGUGUAAUCUUGGGGCUUAACCCUGAGCGUGCUUUCGAUACGGGUUGACUUGAGGAAGGUAGGGGAGAAUGGAAUUCCUGGUGGAGCGGUGGAAUGCGCAGAUAUCAGGAGGAACACCAGUGGCGAAGGCGGUUCUCUGGGCCUUUCCUGACGCUGAGGAGCGAAAGCGUGGGGAGCGAACAGGCUUAGAUACCCUGGUAGUCCACGCUGUAAACGGUGGGUACUAGGUGUGGGGUCCAUUCCACGGGUUCCGUGCCGUAGCUAACGCUUUAAGUACCCCGCCUGGGGAGUACGGCCGCAAGGCUAAAACUCAAAGGAAUUGACGGGGCCCCGCACAAGCGGCGGAGCAUGCGGAUUAAUUCGAUGCAACGCGUAGAACCUUACCUGGGUUUGACAUGGAUCGGGAGCGCUCAGAGAUGGGUGUGCCUCUUUUGGGGUCGGUUCACAGGUGGUGCAUGGCUGUCGUCAGCUCGUGUCGUGAGAUGUUGGGUUAAGUCCCGCAACGAGCGCAACCCUUGUUCACUGUUGCCAGCACGUUAUGGUGGGGACUCAGUGGAGACCGCCGGGGUCAACUCGGAGGAAGGUGGGGAUGACGUCAAGUCAUCAUGCCCCUUAUGUCCAGGGCUUCACGCAUGCUACAAUGGCUGGUACAGAGAGUGGCGAGCCUGUGAGGGUGAGCGAAUCUCGGAAAGCCGGUCUCAGUUCGGAUUGGGGUCUGCAACUCGACCUCAUGAAGUCGGAGUCGCUAGUAAUCGCAGAUCAGCAACGCUGCGGUGAAUACGUUCCCGGG